ACCGAAACGACUCUCGGCAACGGAUAUCUAGGCUCUCGCAUCGAUGAAGAACGUAGCGAAAUGCGAUACUUGGUGUGAAUUGCAAAAUCCCGUGAACCAUCGAGUUUUUGAACGCAAGUUGCGCCCGAAGCCAUUAGGCUGAGGGCA
rnacentral:rRNA from 1 species